rnacentral:sRNA from 1 species
AAUGUAAUUUACCAACGUCACAUAUAUACCGACACGCAAAACCUGGGUGCCCAAUGUUCGUUUUAUAGCGUUCAUGAUGGUUGGUUAGCGGGGUAUAUAGAGGCCUAAC